UCCUUAGAAUGGCUGCCCAGAUGGCAAGCCACCGUACUCAGGCGACUGCCGCGCUAGCAGGGUGCUCCAACUUUUGAUGCUGGCGAAGCUUUUGGAAUGAUGGCUACAUAAUUUGUUAGUCUCCGUUGGAAGCUUAAUUAAACUGAGGUUCAGAUGUGUGGCAAAGGAUUUCAAUUUUCCUGUUUACACAAAGGAAACUUGAGGAAGGUUCAGA